rnacentral:rRNA from 1 species
GACGAACGCUGGCGGCGUGCUUAGCACAUGCAAGUCGAACGGAAAGGCCUUUUCGGCGGUCCUCGAGUGGCGAACGGGUGAGUAACACGUGGGUGAUCUGCCCUGCACUCUGGGAUAAGCCUGGGAAACUGGGUCUAAUACCGGAUAGGACCGCACUUUAGUGUGUGUGGUGGAAAGUUUUUUCGGUGUAGGAUGAGCCCGCGGCCUAUCAGCUUGUUGGUGGGGUAAUGGCCUACCAAGGCGGCGACGGGUAGCCGGACUGAGAGGUUGGUCGGCCACAUUGGGACUGAGAUACGGCCCAGACUCCUACGGGAGGCAGCAGUGGGGAAUAUUGCACAAUGGGCGCAAGCCUGAUGCAGCGACGCCGCGUGGGGGAUGACGGCCUUCGGGUUGUAAACUCCUUUCGCCAGGGACGAAGCGUUUUGUGACGGUACCUGGAGAAGAAGCACCGGCUAACUACGUG